CCGACUUACACAUAUAUAUAGUGAAAGGCUUGGAACAGGCUCCAAGCAUUUCGAAAUCAAAGGAACAGGCUCCUCCAAUUAAUGUAGAAAUAAAGACAUAACUUAGAUAGAGUUUUCGAAAAUGAAAGACAUAAAUACUUAGAAAUAAAAGAUAGCAUAAGGUUCUUCAUGUGGUUUUGGUCCGAGAGUAUCAACUAGGUGAUAAGAUAGCAAGACUAUGGC
rnacentral:lncRNA from 1 species